AACUUUUUCAUUUCUUUAAUUAACUAUUACUGUAUUUAUUUUAUCACAGAGGUAUUGAGAGAAAGAAAAUUGAUUGAAAGAAAUGAGGUGUGCAUUUUCUAGGAAAAAGUUGACAUUCAAGAUGAAAUGAUCUGGAAUGGUAACAUAGAGUGCAAACUAGGGAAGAAGAGAUCCGGUUUAUAUAAAAGAGAAAUGCUCUCCGUGCUCAACACCUAACAGAGUUAAUCUUGAAGGGGAACUAGUCACUUUACAAAUACAGCAACAAGAUGUACAUAUCUGUACAAACGUGAGUCUAGCAUGUUGCUGGUGUCUUGAUGCCAGCAACACAGGUUUAGACAAGUGUGUUUGUGGGACGGCAUAUGGCCUUGUAUUCAAGGACAAUAGCACAUUGAAAUACAAAGCAGAUAGAUGGUGUCUUUAUGAAAUAUCCAUGACCUCUUUUCUUGAUGGAAGGAUUUAAAAUGUAUUGCCUGCCAGCAUCCGGGAAUCGUUAAAUGGAAAUUAGGAAACAGAGUGUUGAUGUCUGGACUAUUCUACUGUUGUGAAGUUUAAGAUAUAAUACUUUUAUAAAAAAAGACUUCCCUAUACAGAUCAAUUGAGAGACACAAACUUCUGGGAGGACAGUGAAUUGACAUUUGUUUUUCUCAACAUGAAAAUGGAAUGAGACAUUCUAGUGGACUAAUUGAUGACACUGUAGGGAUCCAAAAAUCUACAACAAUGAGAUAUGUCUUAAAGAUCUUUAUUAUACCUCUGUACAACUUAGUUAUGCAGCUGGUAUACUGGUUUGAGGCUGCGAGUCAUUGUGGUUGUCUGGCCAUUUAUAUGUACUUCUGUUUAAAUGUUCAAACCAAUUAUAAUAUAACUGGACAAGAAUAAUUGUCACUAUAUCUAUUUGCCCAAUUUUACAUGCAGUACAGCAGGCAAUGUAGUACUCUUACUCCUGAUUAAAUUUUCUCAAUAAUAACUUUGGAAAUUUUCUGUCAUAAAAAUAUAAAGCUGUAAGAAAUACAAAUAUCUAUGCCAUUUGUUAAAUUUUCAAAGUCAAAUCAAAUGUUUUAUUAGCAAAAACAUAUACCCGGUACAUGUUCAUUGCCAAGUUACAUUUAAGCGGUACAAUAAGUACAGAAAAGUAAGAUGUAUUAUAAAUUAUUAUACAUACACCUAUGUCUCAGAGUAAAAUAAUUCAAACAAUUGUAUUAAAGGGACUCCACUGACAUAUCUUUGACAUAACAAUACU